CAGCCACAGCGCUUUGCACGGACAGUGUUGAAGCAUGUAGCUCUGAAGGGUAACGUGUUGGGUUUCAUCAUUUGCUUCCAUGAGAGAACCUUAGCAACAAAAAGGGAUUUUUUCACGCAAACCAAGGCAGCCCCACCAAAGUACCAUUGAUCCUGUUUCCAUCCAAUCCUAAAGCAGCGUUGUGAUCAAACGCCGGUCAUGCUGACCACAUGCUGUGUAACGCAGGCCAGUCUUAGUCUAAACCAGCAAGGAGACUGAGGAGGUAAGCAAUCAAAAGGCAAAUCCUGCAUUGACAGUAUUAAGUAUCUUUUUGUGGAUCUAUGCUGUUAAAAUGGCCUCGCUGAACUCCUGCAUUGGGCUGGAUUAAUGAAGAGGUUCCUUUUUUGAUAUGUGUGUAUUAGCUUCCUCAUCCUGUGUUCCCUGUGUAUUGUGGGCCAAGAGGAUAUCUGACUGCGGAAUAUGCCAGACAACCAGGUAAGAUCGGCAUGACCUUCUAUCUCAAUCAUUUGUUUUUGACUGAAGGGUCCAAAACAAAUGGAGGAUUUCAGUUAAUCGAAGUGUAGUUCGAUAGGACGGCCACAUUGAUCCUUGUUAACAACCACACUUAUUCAAGUGUUUUAAUUGCACUUCCGAAUGCGUUUACAGGGGAAAUGUCAUUUCUGAACAAUUUGUAAAGAAACACUUCAAAUUCCUCAUCUGAAUUCGGGUUGUAAAUAGUAUAAACACGACUCUUUCAGACACAGGUAUUAUUGCAGUGUGUGGCACAUCGGCCAUCGACCUGGCUGUCUACACCGGAUACAACUUACUGAUCCUCAACCAGAUCCGGGACAAUGUGGACUGUGAGGUGAUGCUCACCUCAGUGAACCCUCCUGCCUCCCAGACAGAGAGGGAAAAGCAUGUGGGAGUAACUGAUUGUGUGCUCUUCAAAUGUGGAACUUUUAGAUGGCGCUCCAUAGAUCACCACCAUGCCAGAGAACGGUGCAGCCAAAAGGCUCGCUUCUACUUGCCGGCUUUCUGCUUCAUUGAGCGACUGAAUGACACCAUUUCCAACUGGAACCUACUGCACCUGCAGCACACCUGCAGCACCUCAAGCGGUGCAGCAGGAAGAGGAGUGUGGGGCACAGUUGGUUGCAUCACACAGUGGUCUUUGCUCACAUGCACCAUGAAGAGCAAGGCAGAGAGCUGUACCUUCAAUUUGCAUCUUUUUUUGUGUGCAGAUGAAUAGAUAAAGGAGUCGGAUAAAAGUCCUGCACUCUUACUAAGUGUUAAUAAAAGUAAGCAUUAGAUGUUUUUUAAAGCGAUGUUUAUGUACCGCACAUGUUUAUCAGGCAUCGUCAGGUAAAGAAGUCACAUGACAUUGUAAUAUGCACAAUUAAAAGAAUAGUUGGACAAUAUUUCGUGAAAUGCACCAAAUAACCUUCUGGUUGAGACAGAAAUGUAAGGAUCAAUAACACUGUGAAGAGUGGAAUCGAAAGCUACAGUCUGCAGCCAGAUCGCUAAAGACUGGAAUGUUUGCGCAGAUCAAUGUAAUAAGAUGUCUGAAGCAAAGAUACAAAGGGAAAGAUGAAUUGCUGGACAUGACCUUUCUACUUUUGUGUUCACACCAAUGUUACAUCCUGCACAGAAACCAUAAUUUAUAAUAAAAUAUUAAAUAAAUGAUGUAUAAUUUAUUUUUCUGGUUUUCUUUAUGGAUUAAACAAGCAAGAUUUCAUAUGUUAAGUAGUGAGUUGUAGAGAUGCUGAUGGAUGGAUUUUUUACUGUGGACGGAGACAGUCAAGCUCUUUCUCUUUGUUUACAGAUUUCUCGCUACACUAAACUAAGUGGCUGCUGUCUGUAACUUGCUAUUUGUGAUCCAUCUCUUGGCAAGGAAGGGAAAAAAGCCAUGAAAAAAGCCAAUACAGAGAAAAAUAAUAUAGCAUAUUAGAAUAUAUAUAUUAUACAACUAAAUUCUAAACAUUGAAUGAAAUGUAAUGACAUGACUCAUCGAGAGGUUAGGAAAAAAAACAGCUUUAGUUUUUCAAAUAUUUUAACUUUGUAUUGUAACUCCUGCUUUUGCUCCCUUUCUUUUCCCUCGGUAAAUUCCCUUUUACCUUGCCAAUCAGAAUCCCUGCAUAGUAAGAUGCUGACUUGCCCUGUUUUUCAUUCAGCCAUUCAAUCCAAAGAAGAGGCUAAGAAUGUUAUUUAUUAACUUAACUGCCGGGAGAACAGCCUUUCACAAAGUUUUACUAAUUGCAUUUCUCCAGAAAUGAAAAGCUUCUUUUGCAGCAUGUCAAUAAUGUAUUCUGUUGUUGGCUGGAUUGUGCCUCCUGUAAUGUCACUCUCAUUUGUGCACAGCUCUGUCUGGAGGCCAGGGCACGUCUGUCGUCCUGGGGUUUUUGAUAGGAUAGGUGUGACAGCCAUUUUGAUGGCGACAUCUUUUUUUUUAUCAAAAACCGAAAUGAUCAAGCCAGCAGCGGCCCAUAAUGUUGAUGAACAGGGCUCAGCACAGGCCAGCUGACACAAUGAGUUUGACAGGCUGACAUUCGCAUGCUGGUGGAGGUGCAUAAUGUAUGUAAAGACUCUGCUGUACUGAUUCAAACUAUUGAUUGGAGCACUUUAUUUUUCCCUUCCAAUCCUUCACAGAUUGUUAGCCGCUAUGGAGGGUGAAGUGUGAAAAAUGUACCUGGAUGAAUGGUAAAAAGAAAAAUAAGGAAAACAAUCAGUUGUCAGGUUAAUGGAAUCGUUUAAAAGUUUGGAAGAUAUCUAUUAACUGUUCCUUUAACUUACUGAAAUAAAAUCGAAAGUUGAACGAAAUGAACUAUAGUUAUCACUCUUUUCUCUGUUGGUGUAUUUUCAUUGUUUUAUUAUUAUUUGAUUCAAGAUGCUUAUUGUUUUCAAAUUAGUAUUUGCAUCUGUGUACAAAUCAUGAACACAAAUCAUACAGUGGGUUGCAUGCCGCAUUGCAACAUUUAAUCUGCUUUUGAUGGUGUUACAGCACAUUAUUUUGUGCAAAUCAGAUCUGACCUGUUGUAUUUUUGAGGUGGAGGCUCCUGUGUAAAUACUUCAAUUCUAAAUGUAAAACUAGCUUGCAAAGUAUCACAUGAAAUGUAACCAAAUCAAGUAAAUCUCUGCAUAAACUGAAGUCUUUAUUUGAGUCUUUAAGUGUUUAAGGGGAAUACUUUGUUGUAAUACUUCUGACAAUUUAUAAUCCACUGUAUUACCUGUUAUUAAAACUUUGUUUGAGUUUCA
ensembl:lncRNA